rnacentral:lncRNA from 1 species
GAGCUCACUAUUUUAGAGAAAAAGGAUCAGACAGAACAAUUAAAAACAAAACAGUUGAUGCCAGCUUCUGAGUUUAAAACUCCUGGUAGAGAUAGCAGUUGAAAGAAAGGUUUGGAAGAUCAGCAAGAAUGGAUGAUAAUGCCCUCAGUGUAUUGGAUGAUACCUGCCAAUACUGGGCUGCUGUAGUAUCCUAGGGGUCUACUCCAGUCCCUGGUUACCUCGAAUUUUCCAGUCCCUGGAUGUCUCACCAGUGAAGGUUGUGAAACAGCAAAAAUGGCAGCCUGCACCCUCCUCUGGGAGCUCCAUCCCAAGAAGAUGUUGGCACUUCUUAGGAAGGAGCCAUCCAUGUCUGAAGAGAAGAAAUGAUAAUUAACUUCAUCAUGUGGAAAGCUUUAGAAGGAAGUAUCUUGUCCUUCUGUCCAAACCCGCCUCCUCCUUACCACCCCCAAUAAAAAUAAAAGCCAAACAAAUAAAACAUUAGCAGUAGCUCUGAGUUUCUUCCUUUCACUUUUUCUCUCUCUUCAUGCCUUUUCUCCUCCAUUCCUUCCUUCUUUCAAAUCAUUUUUACUAGUUUAAGAGAAUAAUUCAAUCUAUAUUUAGAAAUCAGACUUAAAACUUCAAAAAUUAUACUGAAAUAGCUUCCCCUUAAAGGGUGAAACAGUCAUGAUAAAAAUAACAACCGAUAGAAUAAAAUAAUAUAAAAUUAGCUGAGUUUAUAGUUUCUUUUACACCUCCAUAAUUUAUGUGGAUUUGGAAAUACAGACAGUAUACUGAAAACUAAGAAGUUUUCUAUGAAUUAUGAGAAUUUGCAAUCCACAUAGGCUUAAGUCUAAUGUUAGAAGAUAAAACAAAUUGACCUUAAAUAACUUUCUGACAUAACCUCCCCAUUUCAUGGAUGAAAAACCCUAAAGCUCUCAUAAGUAAAGUGAUUUACUUCAGGACACAAACUAGUUGAUUUAGUUUGGAUGUUUGUCCCCUCCAAAUCUCAUGUUGAAAUGGAAUCCCCAGUGUUGGAGGUGGGGCCUGGUGGGAGGUGUUUGUGUCAUGGGGCAGAUCCAUUAUCCUUAUGAGCUGCUUGGUGCUAUCCUUGUGAUAGUGAGUGAGUUCUCAUGAAAUCUGGUUGUUUAAAAAUUUGUGGCACCUCCCCACCAGCCUUGCUCCUGCUCUUGCGGUGUGAUAUGCCUGCUGCCUCUUCACCUUACACCGUGAUUAUAAGCUUCCUGAGGCCUCACCAGAAGCAGUUCUUCUAUCAGGAUUUUAAGAGGGCAGGCAGAACUUUAAAGCAAAGGAAAUUGCUUGUUUUUGUGAAAUUAACCAGUCUGUUAUCAAGGCGGAGGACAAGAUACGAAUGCUAAUCAUUGUGAAGAAACUCAUUACGGAAUUUUCUCCAAUACAUAGGCAAAAGA